UUUUAAAUAAAUAUUUAAUGCGGAAGUCUUUAAAAAUUUUAUAAUCAACUUUUAAAAAUAAAUAUUGUAGGAAAACAAUUUAAGGAAAAUAAAUCCUUAAAUGAAAUAAACUUUUAAAACGAUUUAUAAGAAAUCAGCUUUUUAAUAAUAUAUUCAAAUACUAUAUAUCUUUGAUUUAAAAUCGACAAUCAACAUCCUGUCCCAAAACAUGACAUAUAGAUGUCAUGAAAAUAUUUAACUAUUAAGUAAAACUUUAAAUACUUGAAUCAACUAUUUUCAAAAUGACUUGAGGAGGCCAUUCGACUUUCCACGCGUCUCCAGCUGCAAUAACCUGGAAUGUUAAAAAUGGGAUGAGCAUACAAAGUAUACUCAGUGUGGGAUAUCAUGCAAUAAUUGUCCACGUUAAUAAAACGGUAACACAUACGGUCACUUCAUAUAUAUCCUCAAUAUUCGCACUGUGGCAAUCCAAGGACUAUUAAAGUCCCGGACCCUAUUUACGGGCCCCUGGCGACAUCCUCAAAAUAUACCUCAAAUCGCAUUGUGGCAACCCAAGGACUGUGAAGUCCUGGACCCUAUUUACGGGCCCCUAACGAUAUCCUCAAAAUAUACGUCAUAACACAUAUGGUAAACACAUAUUAUUAAAAUGGACAAGAAUUAACCACAGCAUGUACUGAAAUAAAUCCCACACCUGAAGAUUUAACUUGAACUUGAACUCCAACUUCAACUUGAAAGUUAACUUAAGUAAUUCAAUCAAAAUUCAUGUCAUAGUCGCGCCGCACCUAGUCAUAUAAAAAUUCAAAAAUAAAACAUAAGGGCCUAAAUGCAUUUGAAAAUAAUUUAAACUUAAUGUACCUAACUUAAUAUCGAGUUGGGCUCAUAUGAAAAUCAUUGCUAUUAUAAUUAAUUGGCUAUUUAUUCAAGCCCAUAAGUAAUAUAAAUGAAAUCCAAUUACUAUUUAAUAAAACUGUAGCCCAUAAGAUGAUUAAAAUGUGAGCCCAAUCAUUAUUAAUAAACCCAAACCCAUUAGCCCACUUAACAAUUCCCUAAUUUAAACUCACACCCACACAACUCCAAACACCACUCACGCAGCCAACACUCCCUCACAGCAGCUCUCUCUCUCGGCCCUGCUCCCUCUCCUCUUCUCGGCCUCCUGUCGCCGCCCCGGACGGCACGCCGCCGCCGGAGCCGGCGGCCCUGCCUCCUCUCCCUUCCCCCUUCUUCCUAUCUCCCUUCUUCCCUCAUCUCUCGCCCCCUUCGACCCCUCUCCCUCUCUGUCGUUCUCCCUCUGUUUCUCCUCCACAACCUCGCCCAGCCGCGGCCGCCUCCUGUUCCUACCCGACACCGCCCUCACCUUCUCCCUCUUCAGCCGACAGCGUGGCCACCCUCGCUGCCCCGAGACAGAGAGCAGCGGUUGGUCAGGCCGCCUCCCACCAUCCCAGAUCCGGCGCUGCUGCUGCUGUACUUCUUCUCCAUCGCCGGCCGCCACCCCAGCCUCUCUCCGCCGCCGUGGCUCGGCCACCGCCCAACCGCCAUCUCCCUGAAAACCCCCAUUCACUCUUCUAUUUCUUUUCUGUGAGAUUCUAUUCUAUUUCUAUUUCUUCCAAUUUCUUUUCAAUCGUGAUGGAUUCUGUUAAAUCGUUCAUUAGGGGUACUCAAUUCUGUGCUUGGGGUGAUGGUGUUGGGUAUUUGAAUUUAAGAACAUGAAUGAUUGUAAGAUGACUAGCUGCUGUGUUUCUGCAUAAAGGAAAAACAAAAGCAUAUGGUUCUGAAAUUUUACAGAAUCAUAGUCUUACCUCUGCACACAAGGGAAAUAAGCUUGAUUGAAUAGCUGGGGUAAAUUUGUAUCGUAUGAGUUUAAAGGAGGAGGAAUGAUGGGGAAAUUGAGUAUUUAAAUACAGCUGAAAUUUAGGAAAGUAUGGCGGUUAAGGAAGAAGCAUGGCGGUGAAUGGCUUGGAGGAUAGAGAUCCAAAUAUUUUUCUUUUGAUAAAUAAAUAAAAUUGGCGUGGGGGCUAUUGGCGGAAGCAAGCCUUAAUAAAUGAAUGAGAAUUGUUCCAGCUGACAUUGAAUUUUAAAUAUGAUGAAUAUUGGAUAAUACGUGGCUGAUACAUGAGGAAUAAGAGUAUGUGGCUGGAACAGAACAU
rnacentral:lncRNA from 1 species